rnacentral:rRNA from 1 species
GACGAACGCUGGCGGCGUGCCUAACACAUGCAAGUCGAGCGGAGAGGAGAAAGCUUGCUUUCGAAUCUUAGCGGCGGACGGGUGAGUAACGCGUGAGCAACCUGCCUUUCACUGGGGGAUAACGCAUCGAAAGAUGUGCUAAUACCGCAUAAGACCACAGCACCGCAUGGUGCAGGGGUAAAAACUCCGGUGGUAUGAGAUGGAUCCGCGUCUGAUUAGCUAGUUGGUAAGGUAACGGCUUACCAAGGCAACGAUCAGUAGCCGACCUGAGAGGGUGACCGGCCACAUUGGGACUGAGACACGGCCCAA